GACGAGCCACCCGAACGUUAUUCGGAAUUACUGGGCUUAAAGGGUGCGUAGGCGGUGUAGCAAGUCGGGAGUGAAAUACCCCAGCUUAACUGAGGAAUUGCUUUCGAUACUGCUGCGCUUGAGUGAGACAGAGGUAAGCGGAACUUAGGGUGGAGCGGUGAAAUGCGUUGAUAUCCUAAGGAGCACCGGUGGCGAAGGCGGCUUACUGGGUCUCAACUGACGCUGAGGCACGAAAGCUAGGGUAGCAAACGGG
rnacentral:rRNA from 1 species